rnacentral:tRNA from 1 species
GGCCGGCAUAGCUCAAUUGGUAGAGCAACUGAAUCGUAAUCAGUAGGUUGGGGGUUCAAGUCCUCUUGCCGGCUCCAA